GGGCAGUUCAUAGAACAUCUUGGUGACUGUAUGGAAACUCGAUGCAAAACAGAAAAUUACAUCCCUUUUUUUCACCCUGUGGCUGCAACUUCAUGGUAACACUUUACGGAUUGGUAAAUGCCAUGACAUCAUCUCCCCAGACAAUAACUUGGAUCCUCCUGCAUAUCAGAUGUCAGGCUCAGAAAAAAACAAACAACAACAAAAAAAAAACACUAAUAUAGCCAUGAGCCCUUUAGAAUCCACCAGGUUCCGGAUGCUACCAUGAUGCCAACUGGACUUCCCUGGGCAGAGGACCCCACCAAUGUGUCCUGGAGCCCCACUUUCUCAGAUCUUUGCUCCACCAGGGAAAGAGGGAGACAGGCUGGGAGUAUGGAUUGACCUGUCAACACCCAUGUUCAGCGGGGAAGCAAUUACAGAGGCCAGACCUUCCAUCUUCUGCACCCCAUAAUGUCCUUUGGUCCAUACUCCCAGAAGGAUAAAGAAUAGGAAAGCUAUAAGGGAAGGGGAUGGGAUAUGGAGUUCUGGUGGUGGGAAUUGUGUGGAGUUGUACCUCUCUUAUCCUGUGGUUUUUGUCAGUGUUUCUUUUUCAUAAAUUAAAAUUAUAUAUAUGAAGAAAGGGAAAACAAGGGUGAAACUGGGUAGGAUAUACUGCUGCAAAGUAAUGAGCUCUAGGCAUAGGGGAAUAGAGAGAUGACAUCAGGUGUCUAGUGAAUAUGAUAAAGAGGAACAUGGGCUCCUGAUGGGAAAGGUGUGCAGAUAACUAUCACUGGGAGAUAUGAGCCCACCAAUGUAUCAACACCUGUCAUGUAAAUCAUUAUUUCACCCAACAAAAUGAUUUUUAAGGUAACAAAAAAGAAUAUGAUGAGAAUGGAUUUGAAGUAGAAUAGUCCAUAAAAAUCAGGAAAAAUUCAUUUAAAUAAUAUUGAAAGUGAAGCUGAGCACAAUUCUAUUUUUAAAUUAUUAGAUCAAGGUAUUUUAAAAUUAUGGAAGAAACAGAAGCUUGUGACUUUUGAGUGCCUGUUGGACCAUAUGUUUCUCUAUUCUGUAUGCUCGAGAUCCCUGCGAUUUUAUAGGUCUUAGAGGCAAAUACUAAAGUUAUUUUGUUCUCAUUCUUAUAAACUCUGUUAACCACA